UUGGGGUCACCUAACACUACAUCAGUGAAGACAUGGAGCUAGCAAGUGUUCUGCUGAGUGUUGGCCACUUCAAGCAGUUUCACACAGCUGAGAAUUUAAGCGAUAUGGACUCACAGUUGACUGCAUAGGAAUUGAGGCAUAAAGUCCACUGUCUCAUCAUGGACAAUGCAUCAAGCAUGCUGUCAAUGGCAAGACUCAUGGGACUGAGGAAUGUGCCGUGCUUUGUACAUAGCCUAAAUCUGGUUGUCAAAAAGGCACUGGAACAAACAAAGGUUUUAACAGACACCAGGACCAGCGUCAAGGCCAAAGAGCGGCUGGUUGAAAUCCAGCAAUAACUCCAGAGGCCAACACAAACUCAUUCAAGAGGUCGCCACCCAGUGGAACUCCAGCUUUUUGAUGCUGCUGCUUCUUAACAAACAGUGUGAACCAGCUGGAGCUGUGGUCAUAUUUUUGGCCGCUGGUGUCCCUCCCCUCAUGUGAUGAAUAUGAAACCAUUGCAUGCCAAGAGGUUCUCUGACCAUUCAACUUGGCAACAACAGAAUUUCCUCAGAGAAGAUAGUGUCAGCAUCAAAAGUCAUUCCAAUUAUCCUAAUGGUGCAGCAUAAGUUUUCUACAAAAUCAAGUGUACCAUAAAAUCCAACAGCAAUUGAACUGACCCAAUAAUUUUUACACACAAGGUGCCAUAUUGAAAAUAUUUGUGUCCUGGUAACGGCAACUAUACUGGAUCCCCAACUCAAAACAAUUGCGUUUGGGAAUACAACAUCUGCACAAGACGCUGUUUCCAGGGUAACCGCUGAAUGUGCUGAAAGCAUGAGAAUGGAAAGGGUGGCACCAUCAACAUCACAGUCACUAACAGAACCAGCAUCUAGAUCUGCAGCAAGAGGACCAGGAAAACUUGUGGGACCUUCUGGAUAGCCGAGUUGGUGCAACCCAGAGCACUCAAACUGCGACAGCAGAUGCCAUAGCGGAGGUGCAGCAGUAUUUAGCCGAAUCCUGCUUCUCCAGAGGACAAGACCCAGUCAAAUACUAGAGGACACGCAGAACUAUGUACCCCAACCCAUUCAGUAUUUGCUCAUGCCAGCCACAUCUUUUCCUAUGCGAGCAGGUCUUCUACAAAGCUGGAGAGGUAGUCAUGCCUUCAUUAUACCUGAAAUACUGGGUGUGGGUCUUAUCCUACUGUGUGGGUGUGAUGUAUGGUGGUGUGGCUGGGAUCCUGCUAUGGGGUGGGGAUUACUGUCUGUGUUUUUAUGUGCAAUGAACAACUGACCAGGUUAUUUUAUAUUUAAUGAGAAACUUUGUUUGUGGCAGGGCGGGGUUGGGCGGUGAUAAAUAUGUUAAGGAUGUUCCAUACUGAGUGCCAACAGAGCUUUGAGGAACUGAAAACCAGACACACAACUACACUUGUGCUUGUUUAUACAGACUUUUCCUUGCCCUUUUUCUUGGAGGUGAGUGCUAGUUGUUUUAAACCCAGUUUGACAAGCUCCAAAGUGGGAUUUUGUUUGUGUGGCACUGAAAACUCUGGAAUUAGUUUUUUAAUUUAUUUUUUAAUUUAUUUUUUUAAUGCU